GGUGGUUCUUGGGUGAUACACCCUGGAAUUGGCUCCCUCCUUUCUGGUUCCGGGUGCGUCACUCGAGAACCACC
rfam:Myotis brandtii contig302942, whole genome shotgun sequence.